GACGGAGGGCGCGGGCGUAUUCGUUUUGAUUGGGUGUAAAGGGUACGUAGGUGGCUUUCAGUUCUUUGGCAAAAAGUGCAGAGUGUUCCUAUGCAAUCGCCUUUCAAAACGCGAGCUAGUGUUGAGGAUGGGUAGGGGCAAGUUCUCAUGUAGGGGUAAAAUCCGACCAUAUGAAGAACGAACGUCAACUGGCGAAGGCGCCUUUCUAGCCUCAACAGACACUAAGGUACGGAAGCUUAGGGCGCAAACGGG
rnacentral:rRNA from 1 species